rnacentral:rRNA from 1 species
GAUGAACGCUAGCUACAGGCUUAACACAUGCAAGUCGAGGGGAAACGACAUCGAAAGCUUGCUUUUGAUGGGCGUCGACCGGCGCACGGGUGAGUAACGCGUAUCCAACCUGCCCACCACUUGGGGAUAACCUUGCGAAAGUAAGACUAAUACCCAAUGAUAUCUCUAGAAGACAUCUGAAAGAGAUUAAAGAUUUAUCGGUGAUGGAUGGGGAUGCGUCUGAUUAGCUUGUUGGCGGGGUAACGGCCCACCAAGGCAACGAUCAGUAGGGGUUCUGAGAGGAAGGUCCCCCACAUUGGAACUGAGACACGGUCCAAACUCCUACGGGAGGCAGCAGUGAGGAAGAUUGGUCAAUGGACGAGAGUCUGAACCAGCCAAGUAGCGUGCAGGAAGACGGCCCUAUGGGUUGUAAACUGCUUUUAUAAGGGAAUAAAGUGAGUCUCGUGAGACUUUUUGCAUGUACCUUAUGAAUAAGAACCGGCUAAUUCCGUG